UACGUAGGGGGCUAGCGUUGUCCGGAAUCAUUGGGCGUAAAGCGCGUGUAGGCGGCCCGGUAAGUCCGCUGUGAAAGUCGGGGGCUCAACCCUCGAAUGCCGGUGGAUACUGUCGGGCUCGAGUGCGGAAGAGGCGAGUGGAAUUCCUGGUGUAGCGGUGAAAUGCGCAGAUAUCAGGAGGAACACCGAUUGCGAAGGCAGCUCGCUGGGACGUUACUGACGCUGAGACGUGAAAGCGUGGGGAGCAAACAGG
rnacentral:rRNA from 1 species